rnacentral:lncRNA from 1 species
AGCGAGAUACGUUGAAAUAUAAUUAAAAAAGACAUUGAAUACAAUGAAAUAUAUGGAAUACAGCGAGAUAUUUAGAUUACAAUGAAAAAAUAGACAAUAAAAGACAUAAAAAUACAGUGUGAUACAUUGAAAAUACAUUAACAGAACCAAGUUGUCCAGCCCCAAAUUGAAUUUCUGAACAUGCUCGAUAACCUUCCAGUUUUAUCAUCAACAAAUUGAAUUCUCGUAUAUUGCGACAGCUUUCCUUAAAGAUCAAGUUCAACCUUAACCCUAGCUAUGCUAGGUCUAGACCUUUCUUGCGUGGCCUUAUCAAUAGCAAUGGGCUUACCUGUUGUGACGGAGAUUAAACGUUAUGGGAGUGGGAAGGUACUGGGACUACGGCUUCACCGUCUACUUCCAUUUUUGUUUAGAGGAGAAAGAGGAGAAAGAUGAGAGAAGUUAUUUAGAAAACUGAAAGUUCAAAUAUGAAAUAGCCAUUAUCUUGUUAUUCUUCUUCUCAUAAAUCUAUUGAAAGAACGCUCUGUUAAUGGGGAAGUAUAUAUAAGAAAGAUGAAUUGAGAUGGUUGGAUGUUAACUUGAUGGAAAGGAAAGUGCAUCCAUGGCAGCCUAUACUACAUCAUGUCGCCCUAGAGAGAAAGGAGGGAAGAGAUAGCGCGGGUUUUUUUGCUAAUGGUAGGUGAUGUGUGUUAGAGAAAAUUUGAGAUUAAGCAUCAUGUUUUUAGGAAAUGGGGGAAGAGAAUGGCAUGUGUUAAAAUAAAGAGAAAAAGAAAAUAGUUUAACUGAAUAGCGUAUUUAGUGGCUUAGAGAUAGAAGG